GUGAGGAAUAUUGGUCAAUGGGCGAGAGCCUGAACCAGCCAAGUAGCGUGAAGGAUGACUGCCCUAUGGGUUGUAAACUUCUUUUAUAAAGGAAUAAAGUCGGGUAUGGAUACCCGUUUGCAUGUACUUUAUGAAUAAGGAUCGGCUAACUCCGUGCCAGCAGCCGCGGUAAUACGGAGGAUCCGAGCGUUAUCCGGAUUUAUUGGGUUUAAAGGGAGCGUAGAUGGAUGUUUAAGUCAGUUGUGAAAGUUUGCGGCUCAACCGUAAAAUUGCAGUUGAUACUGGAUAUCUUGAGUGCAGUUGAGGCAGGCGGAAUUCGUGGUGUAGCGGUGAAAUGCUUAGAUAUCACGAAGAACUCCGAUUGCGAAGGCAGCCUGCUAAGCUGCAACUGACAUUGAGGCUCGAAAGUGUGGGUAUCAAACAGGAUUAGAAACCCCUGUAGUCC
rnacentral:rRNA from 1 species